rnacentral:misc_RNA from 1 species
UUUCCGUAGGUGAACCUGCGGAAGGAUCAUUAACGAGUUAGGGUCUUCUAGGCCCGACCUCCCAACCCCUUGUUUACUGAACCAUUGUUGCCUCGGUGGGUCCGUCUUACGACCGCCGGGGGAUCGCCGCGAGGCGCCCCCUGGCCAGCGCCCACCGAUAGCCCAACCCUUAAAACCCUUUGUGAAUCGUGUCUUAUGUCUGAAUUUAUGAUUAAACAAUCAAAACAAAACUUUCAACAACGGAUCUCUUGGUUCUG